GACGAACGCUGGCGGCGUGCCUAAUACAUGCAAGUAGAACGCACAGUUUAUACCGUAGCUUGCUACACCAUAGACUGUGAGUUGCGAACGGGUGAGUAACGCGUAGGUAACCUGCCUGGUAGCGGGGGAUAACUAUUGGAAACGAUAGCUAAUACCGCAUAAUAUUAAUUAUUGCAUGAUAAUUAAUUGAAAGGUGCAAUUGCACCACUACCAGAUGGACCUGCGUUGUAUUAGCUAGUAGGUGAGGUAACGGCUCACCUAGGCGACGAUACAUAGCCGACCGGAGAGGGUGAGCGGCCGCACUGGGACUGAGACAGGGCCCAGACGCCUACGGGAGGCAGCAGUAGGGAAUCUUCGGCAAUGGGCGAAAGUCUGACCGAGCAACGCCGCGUGAGUGAAGAGGGUUUUCGCAUCGUAAAGCUCUGUUGUCAGAGAAGAACGGGUGUGAGAGUGGAAAGUUCACACUGUGACGGUAUCUUACCAGAAAGGGACGGCUAACUACGUG
rnacentral:rRNA from 1 species